rnacentral:rRNA from 1 species
AACGAACGCUGGCGGCGUGCUUAACACAUGCAAGUCGAACGAGAAGUCUGUAGCAAUACAGAUUGUAAAGUGGCGCACGGGUGAGUAACACGUGGGUAAUCUGCCCUUGAGUUUGGGAUAACCCCGCGAAAGCGGGGCUAAUACCGAAUAAGACCACGGGGACCAAAGUCCCUGAGGUAAAAGAUGGCCUCUAUUUAUAAGCUAUCACUUUAGGAUGAGCUCGCGGCCCAUUAGCUAGUUGGCAGGGUAACGGCCUACCAAGGCUAUGAUGGGUAGCUGGUCUGAGAGGACGAUCAGCCACACUGGAACUGAGACACGGUCCAGACUCCCACGGGAGGCAGCAGUGGGGAAUAUUGCGCAAUGGGCGAAAGCCUGACGCAGCAACGCCGCGUGGGGGAUGAAGGUUUUCGGAUUGUAAACCCCUUUCGACCGGAACGAAUCUCCUCUUGGUAAAUAAUCAGGGGGAUCGACGGUACCGGGAGAAGAAGCCACGGCUAACUCUGUGCCAGCAGCCGCAGUAAUAC